rnacentral:misc_RNA from 1 species
UGAGUUGUUCUAGACUUGCUUUCGAAGCGGGCUCCCCGCAUAUUUGUGCGGUCAACCGUUUUGUAGCUUGUUUCUCGAGCGUCCCACCCCGAUGCACAUAUUUUGCUUGGCUGGUGCGAUCAAUGGGUUGUUGCCUGUGUUGCUACUAUUUUUGGGACAAUGUUUGUUUUGUGACUAUGGCAUGUCAUGUUGCCUUCGAUUAUGAUUUUGAGAAAGUUGCGUAGGCUAUUGAAACAUCGGCUUURUUCGGGAGCGAUCGAUGGGUCUCGACUCGUCCGCAGCUCGCGUCAUAUUAUAUGAGCGGCUCUUUCGGAUACGGUAGCUAUGUGGGUUCUUGUGGUCCUCUUCGGUCCGCAUGCAACCUCGUAGUACACACCCGUAACAGUUCAUUGUGUGGUAGGAUCUUGUGCCAAUCUUUGCGUUCCUGUUUUUGCUCCUCGUGCGGGAGAAAAGACUGGGCGUGGGGAUAAAGCAGAUGCUGGCAUAUGGUGUUUGUACGUGUGGUGGGAGUUCUAUGAUAUAUUAGUGAUUGCGUUGCGUGCGUGCGUAAUGGCAUUCCGUCCGGGAGUGCUUCAGCAGCUCGCAGGCUCACUUUUCUGACUUGCUACCUGGUUGAUCCUGCCAGUAGU